GACAAGAAAUAACAAUACAGGGCGAAUGUCUUGUAAUUGGAAUGAUGGUGACCCAAACCCUCACCAGAGUAGCAAUUGGAGGGCAAGUCUGGUGCCAGCAGCCGCGGUAAUUCCAGCUCCAAUAGCGUAUAUUAAACUUGUUGCAGUUAAAAAGCUCGUAGUUGUAUUUUUGCGUUGACGGUUUGACCAUUUGGUUGGUUAUUUCGUUUUCGCUUUUGGGAAUUUCCCUUUUUACUUUGAGAAAAUUAGAGUGUUUCAAGCAGACUUUUGUCUUGAAUACUUCAGCAUGGAAUAAUAGAGUAGGACUUUGGUUCUAUUUUGUUGGUUAUUGAACCUUAGUAAUGGUUAAUAGGAACGGUUGGGGGCAUUCGUAUUUAACUGUCAGAGGUGAAAUUCUUAG
rnacentral:rRNA from 1 species